GACGAACGCUGGCGGCGUGCCUAAUACAUGCAAGUAGGACGCAGUUGCGAACGGGUGAGUAACGCGUAGGUAACUACCUAUUAGAGGGGGAUAACUAUUGGAAACGCUAGCUAAUACCGCAUACUAUUAGAUGGACCUGCGUUGUAUUAGCUAGUAGGUAGGGUAAUGGCCUACCUAGGCAACGAUACAUAGCCGACCUGAAGAGGGGAUCGGCUCAACUGGGACUGGGACACGGGCCAGACUCCUCAGGGAGGCAGCAGUAGGGAAUCUUCGGCAAAGGGGUGAACCCUGACCGAGCAACGCCGCGUGAGUGAAGAAGGUUUUCGGAUCGUAAAGCUCUGUUGUUAAGGAAGCGGUACUUAACCAGAAAGGGACGGCUAACUACGUGCCAGCAGCCGCGGUAAUAC
rnacentral:rRNA from 1 species